UCUAUUACUAAAUGUAAGUCGCUUUGGACAAAAGCGUCUGCCAAAUGUAAAAUA
rfam:Astyanax mexicanus Tnplaced_Scaffold_2632, whole genome shotgun sequence.